UGGGGAAUCUUGGACAAUGGGGGAAACCCUGAUCCAGCCAUGCCGCGUGAUCGAUGAAGGCCUUAGGGUUGUAAAGAUCUUUCAGCGAGGAAGAUAAUGACGGUACUCGCAGAAGAAGCCCCGGCUAACUCCGUGCCAGCAGCCGCGGUAAUACGGAGGGGGCUAGCGUUAUUCGGAAUUACUGGGCGUAAAGCGCGUGUAGGCGGUCCUGCAAGUCUGAUGUGAAAGCCCCGGGCUUAACCCGGGAAGUGCAUUGGAAACUGUGGGACUUGAGUACUGGAGAGGAUGGGGGAAUUCCCGGUGUAGAGGUGAAAUUCGUAGAGAUCGGGAGGAAUAUCAGUGGCGAAGGCGCCCAUCUGGACGGUAACUGACGCUGAGACGCGAAAGCGUGGGGAGCAAACA
rnacentral:rRNA from 1 species